rnacentral:miRNA from 1 species
UUGGAGGGGUGGGCUUU